rnacentral:rRNA from 1 species
AUUGAACGCUGGCGGCAUGCCUUACACAUGCAAGUCGAACGGCAGCACGGGGCAACCUGGUGGCGAGUGGCGAACGGGUGAGUAAUGCAUCGGAACGUGCCAUUGAGUGGGGGAUAACGUAGCGAAAGUUGCGCUAAUACCGCAUAUUCUGUGAGCAGGAAAGCAGGGGACCGCAAGGCCUUGCGCUCUUUGAGCGGCCGAUGUCAGAUUAGCUAGUUGGUGAGGUAAAGGCUUACCAAGGCGACGAUCUGUAGCGGGUCUGAGAGGAUGAUCCGCCACACUGGAACUGAGACACGGUCCAGACUCCUACGGGAGGCAGCAGUGGGGAAUUUUGGACAAUGGGCGCAAGCCUGAUCCAGCCAUGCCGCGUGAGUGAAGAAGGGCCUUC